CUCAUUUACUUUAAAACCAAUUAAUAAUUUUUUCAAUUGUAUUUUCAAAUAUAAUGAAUCAGAAUAUUCGCAAUUACAAAAACUAAAGUUAAUGCGUAAAACAAAAGAAACUCCUAAAGCUAAAACUUUUGACAUUUUACUAACCAAAAAUAAAUUUUAGUUGGUCAUAACUUUGGACGCUUGUGGAAAACUCUCCCAAACAGUCUAACACCGAUACAAAAGUAUC
rnacentral:lncRNA from 1 species